GAUGAACGCUAGCUACAGGCUUAACACAUGCAAGUCGAGGGGAAACGACAUCGAAAGCUUGCUUUUGAUGGGCGUCGACCGGCGCACGGGUGAGUAACGCGUAUCCAACCUGCCCACCACUUGGGGAUAACCUUGCGAAAGUACGACUAAUACCCAAUGACGUCUCUAGAAGACAUCUGAAAGAGAUUAAAGAUUUAUCGGUGAUGGAUGGGGAUGCGUCUGAUUAGCUUGUUGGCGGGGUAACGGCCCACCAGGGCGACGAUCAGUAGGGGUUCUGAGAGGAAGGUCCCCCACAUUGGAACUGAGACACGGUCCAAACUCCUACGGGAGGCAGCAGUGAGGAAUAUUGGUCAAUGGGCGAGAGCCUGAGCCAGCCAAGUAGCGUGCAGGAUGACGGCCCUAUGGGUUGUAAACUGCUUUUAUAAGGGAAUAAAGUGAGCCUCGUGAGGCUUUUUGCAUGUACCUUAUGAAUAAGGACCGGCUAAUUCCGUGCCAGCAGCCGCCGUAA
rnacentral:rRNA from 1 species